rnacentral:rRNA from 1 species
UACGAAGGGGGCUAGCGUUGCUCGGAAUCACUGGGCGUAGAGCGCACGUAGGUGGGUCUGUAAGUCAGUGGUGAAAUCUCCGUGCUUAACAUGGAAACUGCCAUUGAUACUAUAGGUCUUGAAUUUUCUGGAGGUAAGCGGAAUAUGUCAUGUAGCGGUGAAAUGCUUAGAUAUGAACAUAGAACACCAAUUGCGAAGGCAGCUUACUACGGGAACAUUGACACUGGAGGCACGAAAGCGUGGGGAUCAAACAGG